CAGGGAGAGUCAGGACUUGGCAUGCACCCUGCAAUGUUGUGGGGAGAGGCAUAGUGCCAGCCAUCCUGCACUCCCUGGACUGGCAGUGCUGCAGUGCAAUUGCUGCUGACUCAAUGGGGACCUCUCGCCCACUCUCCAUCUAGGUACCAAGAGUGCCCAGUGCAGAUGUGCAAUCUCUUGGGGUUACCUGCCCACUAUGAGCUGCAGUGGCAGGCCAGUGGGAAGGGGAGAUUGGCAUCCCCACACCAGUCUGGUGAGUAGAGUUGUUUUAGAAGAAGCCAGGGACACCAGUGUUGACAUUAGAGGUGGUGAGAAGAAUGGCAUUCAGGAUUCUUGCACAGAAUGCUGAGUACCCACAUGUUCCUUCUGCACUGGGCUCUGCAAAUUAUGAAGCUCACCCUGUCACUUCACCUAAAGAUAGGCCAACUUGACAUCUGUGGGGCUUAAGCCUGCUCAAAUGGGUUGAAGGCGGGGCGAAACCCAGCCUUGGGUUUCAGGCAGCCAUCUUGCAUUGUUUGUUCUUCCUAAGUGUCCAGUCUUCCUGGACCUCACCUCACAGUAUUCCCAUCCCCUGACCAAUGCCUGACUCCAGAAGUUUCUGAGUGUUUGCUGGCUGCUGAGCUGUAGUGAUGGAGCUGUAUGGUAACAGAGCUGGAGAUGACCCAAGUUUCUCUUGUCCCACUCCUUGCCUGAUGGCACCAACCCCACCACCUCCCCAGGCAGAAGACUAAGCCAAAAAUGGUUACUAAAUAGUAACCACCCAGGAAGCAACUUGGGACUUGGAACUGGGCCCAUUGUUACUUAAUGCAUCCUCUCCCCACCCCAUAAAUGAACUUGGACACAGUCAAGUCGCACUAUAAUGAAGUGGCAAAGGAGAUGGAAGUGAAAAAGAAAAACAGCUGACGUAUCUAAUUUUCCUAAGACAUAGAAAAACGGGCUGCAAACAGAAAAAUGAGGCUUAGCUAGGAAAAAUGUAAACAAGAUGUUUGGGGAAAGGCGUCUAAAACCACCCAGUCUUCAGUGGACAGGAAAGACCCAGCUCCUCCCGGGUCAUCACAGAGGGUGGGUUGGAAAGGUGGGCAGAACAGAGCAGAGGGUGGCCAUGGGUGGUGUGGGGCUACCAAUGAUGCAUGCCUCCUGCCAAGCAGGCACCUUCACAACCCGGUGGGAUGGACCCAGAUGAGACGGAUAACCAAGAAGGCUAGGUACAGGGAGAACCCCAUCUUCCCAGCAGGAAGAACUUUCCACACAGACCAGGAAGCAGGAAUUCUGUAAACACUAAGGCUGCUAGCUACCGUCCCUUUUAAUGUUUUAGUGGUGAUGACAAUGCAGUAAGAAUGUCAGUGGAGUCAGUUAUUGGUUUUUACUCAGUGUCAGACACUGUCUUACAGUCUUUUCCUGCCUUCUCACAUUUUACUUUCGCCACAACCUAUCCACUUUUUGCAAAUAAAGAACUUGAGGCUCAAAGAAGCAACUAGCAAGUGUGAGACCAGACUUUGCACCAAGGUUGGUCUGAAUCCAAAGCCCAUAUCUUUCCCCUAUUAUAUUCUUCUGGUUUACUUAGCAAUAGUAAUAAAAAUACUGAUACAAAUACUUAUACCUUGUUGACUGCUCACUAUGUAAUCAGGCACUUUGUGUACGUCAUCUCACUUAGUAACCACAUCAACCAUAUGAAGUAGUUCCCAUGAUUCCACCUGGAUUACUAUUAAGAAAACUGAGCAUCAGAGAGACUAAGUAACGAGGCUGAGAUUCCCAGCUGAUACUGAAGCUCCUGGUUCGGGGACCAUACUUUGAGAACCUUCAGCUUACAACAAUGCCCAGCAUGAGCUGUCUUCCAAGCAGCUGAGACAUAUGACCCGAUUGAAUUCCAGGCUUCUGUUGGGUCUUGGUUUGUCCAGAUUUAGAGGAGCUGUCCGUGUGUGUGUGUGUGUGUGUGUGUGUGUGUGUGUGUGUGUGUGUUUAAACAACUGACAUGUCAUUCUUUUAAAGUGCACAUAAAAGUUUAAGCUUCCUGAAUCUCAUAAAGAAAAAUUAUAAAAGGAUGCCUGUACU
rnacentral:lncRNA from 1 species